GCCCCCAGGCUGAGGUAGUAGGUUGUAUAGUUUAGAAUAACAUCACUGGAGAUAACUGUACAACCUCCUAGCUUUCCCUGAGAU
ensembl:miRNA mirlet7a-2 microRNA let7a-2